rnacentral:lncRNA from 1 species
CGCGGAGUCACAAACGUGUGGAGCCCCGGUUUUGUGUUCAGCUGGCAGGGGAGCUGGCUCCUCAGUCAGGGAGAACCACUGGGAGCCACAAGGAAGAAGGGAGGAGGCCUGGGGAGCCGUCAAAGGGGAGUGAAGAGGUCUCAGGGCACAUCGGGCUGGUGUGGUCAACAGGGGAGAACAAGGAGGAGCCCCUCCUGGAACACGCAGAACCCUAAAAAGUGGUGACUUGAGAAGCGUCGAAACCCCACCAUUAACACGUUAUGCCUUUGGGUUAAGUAUUGCCCUUAAAAAGCAAAUUGCCCUAGAAGACUAAGGGCCUGUGCUGGGCCCUGGGAUUCAGAGAAUCAGAUAGAGCUCCUCUCUCCUAGCAGUUCAGGGUCUGUGGUGAGCCCAGCAGGCAAGCUGGUGUGGAGACAGGACGUUUGCUGAGCCGCUGUGGAGAAGCGCAGGAUAAGAAGCCAGGAGGAGCAGCCUCUAGGCCAGCCUCCUCUUCCGGGGGUCCUGGGGUGAGUCAUUUCUCCUCUCCGAUCCUUGGUCCUCAUCUGUCCAAUGGUAGUUUUCUUGGGCCUGCCAUAACAGAGGUUCUCAACCUUUGCGGUGUUUGGCCAAGCCCAGACUUACCCAAGCCCGUCUGUAGAGGUGGACCUGGGCAUCUCAUUACCCAAACAUCUCCGCAGGUGAUUCUGCCCACAGCCAGGGGAGCUGGUGAUCUGGAAAGCGGCCCGGGGGAUGGGCAGUGAGGAGGGUACCAGGGGAGACGGAAGCUUUCUUUAAACCUCUGAAGUCCUAGGACUUCCUUUAGGAAGCCAUCCAGAGUUCAGAAGGCUGCCUGGGGGAAUGAGAUCUCCUACUGAUGGGUUAAAUGAGAUGAUGCUGCCAAGCCCGUAGCAUCUAGUCUGAGCCCAGGCAAUGGGCAUCUUCCCACUCUCACUCUGGUGAGUCCCUGGAUGCCUGGCUGGGCCAGAAGACAGAGUCUGAGAACUGAGAAUUAUGGAAAAACCUCAUGAAAUAUCCCCCAAGAAGGAACGGGAGGGAGAAAUGGGAGUUUGCAAAAAUCUCUCUGAGGUCUCCGGGCUUUUUUUCUUUGAGGACAGUGACAAAAUUGGUUUGCCUGAUGGAGUAAAGGGGCCUUGGAUGAGGUGAGCCCUCCACCAUUGGCUUCAAAGAAGACUCCAGAAUGACACUGGAGGUCUCAGGAGCAGCGAGGACCACCAGGGGAGGACAGGACUUCCAGCUUCCCCAGAACUUGGAAGGACAGUGUAAGGAGGAGAUGGUUUCCCAGCAUGUUCCUGGCAGAGGCCAUCCUGAUGCCAUCUAGAUAAGGACACCGAUCACUCUGCAGCCUUGCUCCAGCCAUCAGAGCUCAGGCUCCCUUGGAAAGUCUCCCAGCAUCAGUGCUGAUAUGGACCAGCUUGAUCCAUCCUGGGUUUUCAGGAAAUCUGAGGCAGGAUCAAGACAGCAGCCUCAGGGAGGACUUGGGGUGGGGGGCAGGAGGCAGGAACCCAGUGGCUGAUGGAGGAGAUGGCAGAGGGUGGGAGAGGGGUGGGUGGG